CUAAUACUUUUUACAGCUAAUCUCCAUGGUCCUGAAUCAUUGAUCGUAAAAAUACAAAAUUACAAUAUGUAGAACUCGCUUUAGUUUCCUAGCAAAUAAUGAGAGAACCUCUUGGAUAAAAUUCAGUGUCUUUAGCUGCCACCAUACGUUAGGAACAUCAAUAAUAAAACUCGUCCCUCAAAGCAUCCUGUAUAUACAAGAGUAUAUAUAAAUUAGUAUAAUAAGAAAAUCAUACAAGUUACAAAUACCAUGGUCAAUAUUCAAUACAUGAUCUCUAUUACAAUAUUUUUCUCAUUCUUAAUUGUUGUAAAAAUAGAAUAACUUCAAAAAUAGCUAGAAACUAAAAUUAACAGCAAAGAAUGCGAACAAAGCGAAGAAGAAGAUUAGUAGAGCUAGUCAAUCAUGUACGCCCCCAACAUCAUGAAUUUAGCGUAAAGUGUAUGUUCUUAACAAUUUUAAAAUAUAACUAUGUCGACCUGCUCCCUCUGGAUCAGUAUUAAAAUAUAAAAAUGGUGAUCAAGUGAAAAAAAGACUGGGGAAAAAGAGAGCAUACCAAUAAGAAGAUUUGGAGUUUUAUCAUCCAG
rnacentral:lncRNA from 1 species